rfam:Angiostrongylus costaricensis strain Costa Rica genome assembly, scaffold: ACOC_scaffold0001477
GCUCCAUUGGCGCAGUUGGUUAGCGCGUGGAACUUAUAAGACUAAGAAAUGCCAAGGUCGGGUGUUCGAUCCUCCCAUGCAGCA